UUGGGGCAAACUCACAACUCCGAGCUCAAGAGUCUCAUGCUAUAGUGAACCAGCCAGGCACCCCAGGACCACCCAGAAAUUCUGGGAUCUCAGCAGUGUUCCAGAUUAAGGAUAGGAUUGGGGUUAGGACAUCACAUUUUUCAGGGACCAUUUUCCUUUUUCUUAACUAAAUCUGGAGAUAAGAGAUUUA